AUAAGAGGUCCCGCCUGCCCGGUGACUAUUAGUUUAACGGCCGCGGUAUCUUGACCGUGCAAAGGUAGCGCAAUCACUUGUCUUUUAAAUGAAGACCUGUAUGAAUGGCACCACGAGGGCUCAACUGUCUCCUUUUUCCUGUCAAUGAAAUUGAUCUCCCCGUGCAGAAGCGGGGAUUCGUCCAUAAGACGAGAAGACCCUAUGGAGCUUCAGGCUCUAGAACAGACUAUGUUAAAUAACCCUUAACACAAAAGACAAAACUAAUUAGGCCCUGUUCUAAUGCCUUUGGUUGGGGCGACCGCGGGGAAACAAAAAACCCCCAUGUGGACUAGGAGUAACCUUACUCCCACAACCCAGGGCUACAGCCCUAAGUAACAGAAUUUCUGACCAUAAAUGAUCCGGUCCUAACCGAUCAACGAACCGAGUUACCCUAGGGAUAACAGCGCAAUCCCCUUCUAGAGUCCAUAUCGACAAGGGGGUUUACGACCUCGAUGUUGGAUCAGGACAUCCUAUUGGUGCAGCCGCUAUUAAGGGUUCGUUUGUUCAACGAUU
rnacentral:rRNA from 1 species